rnacentral:lncRNA from 1 species
UAGAGCUUAUCAUUGAACUUGCAUACGGCAGCCAGAAGGAUAAAAAAUGCGGUUUGGGGAGUAGGAAGGAAGGAGAGAAUUGAUCUGUAUAAGAAUCUACUCACCUCUACCUUUAUCCAUUAUCCUCCAAGAUGAAUUUAGGUCAGUCCAGUUAAGAGCCUGGACACACAACAAAAUGAUCGAGGACGUAGAAUCUGAAAGAGAAAUCUCAAGAACGUUAAUGCAGAGCAGCGUAGAUCCAGUCUCUGGGGAGCAGUUCUCCCUCAGGCCAAUCACCUGUCCCAACUCGCAGGGACUUUCAUCAGCUUCUAGAAUAUUUAGCUCUUCACAGAGCUAA